rnacentral:SRP_RNA from 1 species
GCUGGGUGUGGGUGGGAGAUCCUCUAAUUUCUUCUCCCAGAGAAGCUGAGACUGGUGGAUCACUUGAUCUCAAGAGUCCUGAGAUACAAAUGGUAGGUUAAACCAACUGGAGUUCUGCAGUAAAUUAGGCCUUAAUAUGGUGAGCUCCUGGAGGUGUGGCUGGGGGAAGGUCCAUCGGGUUGUCUAAGGAGGAAUGACCUGACCCAGGUCAGAAAUGGAGUAGGCCAAAGUUUCCAUGCUGAUCAGAGUGGGUCCAUGCCAUGAGUAGCACCUGUACUUCCAGGCUGAAAGAGCUAGGGAGACCUAAUCUUUA